rnacentral:rRNA from 1 species
AACGCGAAGAACCUUACCUCGGCUUGACAUGCACGUGGUACUGACCCGUAAGGGAAGGGACCCGCGAGGGAGCGUGCACAGAUGCUGCAUGGCUGUCGUCAGCUCGUGCCGUGAGGUGUUGGGUUAAGUCCCGCAACGAGCGCAACCCUUGUCCUUAGUUAUCAUGUCUAGGGAGACCGCCGGUCUAAACCGGAGGAAGGUGGGGAUGACGUCAAGUCAGCACGGCUCUUACGUCGAGGGCUACACACACGCUACAAUGGCCGGUACAACGGGCUGCCAAGGGGCGACCUGGAGCUAAUCCCACCAAAGCCGGUCUCAGUUCGGAUCGCAGGCUGCAACUCGCCUGCGUGAAGUCGGAGUUGCUAGUAACUGCUGGUCAGCACACAGCAGUGAAUACGUUCCCGGGCCUUGUACACACCGACGCGUA